GAGGAUUUUAAUUAGCCGAGCUCUUUCUUUCUGUUCUUAUCAAUUGAUGCCCGAGUAUAUAAAGCAAAACGUGUAAUCUGCUGUGUUUGGGAAGCCUCCAUCAACAUCCGGAAUCACCAACAGUGAGGACUCGUCUCUGUAAAAGUUCAAGGAGUGAGAUACAAAAGAGCAAAGGACAAAUCAAUUUACGUUUGUUUUGGAGAAGGGCACGAUCUGCUGCACGAAUGAGAUUCAGAGAAAAUUCUUGACUGCCAAUUCUAAUCCCCUUAACAGAGGUAGAGGUUCUGGGCGAUUGGUUGGGCUGAUUGGGAAAAGGUGAAGUUUUCUAAGGUUGAAUUGCUCCCAAAAGGCUUGGAAAUCCGGUUUCAAUUGCUCGCAAUAAGCUUGGAAAUCUGGUUUCUUUCACAGAAGGCAUUGAAAAUGUAAUUUUCUGUUUGUAUGUAGUUCAGACUCCAAAGUUGCAUAUACUCAAGAACUUGGGAAAACCAGUUUUUUAAACUUCUUGACGCAGAAGUUUGACAGUUUAAGGAUUCUGCUCCAAGGAACAAUUUCAGGAUCUUACAGCCCAGGGUUGCGAUCAUCUAGCCCGUGUAGAGAUAGGAAGGGAUUGGUACAACAGGAAGGGAUCAUCGCCAUUGUUGAAGAUCCACCUCCCAGGAGCAUUGACUUUUGAGGCUUCAAGAAGAACUAAAAGUACCUUUUGACGAGACUCACCCUGCAUCUUUCGGAGAUUAUUGUUCAAGCAAGGUGGGAGUCGAGCAACUUGGGAAUACCCAUUUGCUGUUGUUGGCAUAAACAUAUCAUUUAUGUUGAUUCAAUUGCUGGCUCUUGGGUCAGCAAGACCAAGGUGUCUUCCCGGGAUAAAUUUCUUGCACUUAUUAGGAGAAGAUGAAGCUGCUUCUGAUGUACUGUUCAGUAUAGCUUUUGACAUGGUCGAUGCUCAGUGGCUUGCUAUGAAUGCAUCCUGCAUGCAGUUUAAUGAGCUCUCCAGAUGACUAACUCAUAGGGCUUUCAAUUCCUUCAAGAUGUUCUGCAAGCAACGCGGAUGUAGUUGGAAAGAGAACCAUCUUUAGAAGAUAUCAAGAGUAUAUAAGAUUUACCAACUUAUAGUCUGUUGUACCAGUAGCUUUUUGGUAGUACAGAAAAACAUUAGCACUGUGCUUGGACUCGGAGAAAUUUCAAUGAAUUCAUAGGGUUACCAAGACAACAACGCAUUGCAUAAAACAA